GGAGGGAGCUAGCGUUGUUCGGAAUUACUGGGGGGCGUAAAGGGGCGUGUAGGGCGGGUUUUUAAGUUAGGGCGUGAAAGCCCUGGGCUCAACCCAGGAAUUGCGUUUAAUACUGGAAAACUUGAGGUCGGUAGAGGGGAGUGGAAUUCCUAGUGUAGAGGUGAAAUUCGUAGAUAUUAGGAGGAACACCAGAGGCGAAGGCGACUCCCUGGGCCGAAUCUGACGCUGAGGCGCGAAAGCGUGGGGAGCAAACAGGAUUAGAUACCCUGGUAGUCCACGCUGUAAACGAUGAAUGCUAGACGUCGGGAGUUUACUUUCGGUGUCGCAGCUAACGCAUUAAGCAUUCCGCCUGGGGAGUACGGUCGCAAGAUUA
rnacentral:rRNA from 1 species